CACGUCCUUUUGAUUUAAAUUUAAGGUUUAAUCUGCUCAAUGAAUUAUUAAAUUGCCGCAGUAUUUUAACUGUGCGAAGGUAGCAUAAUAAUUAGUUUUUUAAUUGAGAACUGGAAUGAAUGAUUGGACGAGAAAAUUACUGUCUCUUAUGGAUUGAUUUUUUAAUUUUAUUUUUAAGUUAAAAAGCUUAAAUAUAAAUAAAAGACGAGAAGACCCUAUAGAGUUUAAUAUUUAUUUUUUAUAAAUAUUUGGAAAAUAAUUUAAUAGUUAAAUAUUUAGUUGGGGUGACUUAAAGAUUAAUAUAAUUCUUUAAUUAUUAAAUUGUUGAUAAAUAAAAAUUAAAUCUAUUUUUUUAAAUUUAAAAUUAAUUACCUUAGGGAUAACAGCGUAAUUUUUUUUUAAAGUUCUUAUUAAAAGAAAAGUUUGCGACCUCGAUGUUGGAUUAAAAUUAAUUUUAGGUGCAGUAGCUUAAAAAUUGGGUCUGUUCGACCUUUAAAAUUUUACAUGAUCUGAGUUUAAACCGGUGUAAGCCAGGUUGGAUUCUAUCUUUAAUUAAUUUAUAUAUUUUAGUACGAAAGGGCCGAAUAUAUAUUAUAAUAUAAUUG
rnacentral:rRNA from 1 species